AAAGAAAGUAAGCAAGGGCGCAUGGCGGAUGCCUUGGCUCUCGGAGGCGAUGAAGGACGUGAUAAGCUGCGAUAAGCUUCGGGCAGGUGCAAAUAACCUUUGAUCCGAAGAUUUCCGAAUGGGACAACCCGUCAUUCUGAAGGAAUGACAUCUUGCAUAGCAAGAGGCUAACGCAGGGAACUGAAACAUCUUAGUACCUGUAGGAAAAGAAAAUAAUAAUGAUUCCCCUAGUAGUGGCGAGCGAACGGGGAUUAGCCCAAACCAAUGUUGUUACGGCAAUAUUGGGGUUGUAGGACCACGAUGUCGCAAGAAGUUUAGUGAGAAGAACCCUUUGGAAAAUGGGACCAUAGACGGUGAUAGUCCGGUAUUCGAAGCUAAAUGAAGCGUAGUGGUAUCCUGAGUAGCGCGGGACACGAGGAAUCUUGCGUGAAUCUGCCGGGACCAUCCGGUAAGGCUAAAUACUCCCGAGAGACCGAUAGCGAACCAGUACUGUGAAGGAAAGGUGAAAAGCACUUCGAAUAGAAGAGUGAAAUAGUCCCUGAAACCGUGCGCCUACAAGCGGUCGGAGCUGCUUCAGCAGUGACGGCGUGCCUUUUGCAUAAUGAACCUACGAGUUACUUUUUCCGGCAAGGUUAAGGAUCUUGAGAUCCGCAGCCGAAGCGAAAGCGAGUCUUAAUAGGGCGAUUAGUCGGAAGGAGUAGACGCGAAACCAAGUGAUCUACCCUUGGUCAGGUUGAAGGUUAGGUAACACUAACUGGAGGACCGAACCGAUAAGCGUUGAAAAGCUUCCGGAUGAACUGAGGGUGGGGGUGAAAGGCUAAUCAAACUUGGAGAUAGCUCGUACUCCCCGAAAUGCAUUUAGGUGCAGCCUUGGGAAUUACUACUGUGAGGUAGAGCGACUGAUAAGAUGCGAGGGCUUCACCGCCUAUCAAGUCUUGAUAAACUCCGAAUGCGCAGUAGUUCGAUCCCAGGAGUGAGGGCAUGGGUGCUAAGGUCCAUGUCCUAAAGGAGAAGAAUCCAGACCAUCAGCUAAGGUCCCGAAAUAAUUGCUAAGUUGAACUAACGAAGUCAGAUUGCUAAGACAGCUAGGAUGUUGGCUUGGAAGCAGCCAUUCAUUUAAAGAGUGCGUAACAGCUCACUAGUCGAGGAGUUUGGCGUGGAUAAUAAUCGGGCAUUAAGCAAUUUACCGAAGCUAUGGGAUGUUAACUAAACACUAACAUCGGUAGGGGAGCAUUCCACUCUGCGUCGAAGGUGAAGCGUGAGCUUUGCUGGAGCGUGUGGAAAAGCAAAUGUAGGUAUAAGUAACGAUAAAGGGGGUGAGAAACCCCCUCGCCGAAAGACUAAGGUUUCCUGAUCAACGCUAAUCGGAUCAGGGUUAGUCGGGUCCUAAGGCUCAGCCGAACGGUGAGGCCGAUGGCAGAACAGGUUAAUAUUCCUGUACUACCUUAAGGAGUGACGUGGAGACGGAGGAGUGACAACGCCGCGGACUGACGGAAUAGUCCGUUGAAGGGUGUAGAUGUUGAUUAUCCCAGGCAAAUCCGGGAUAAGAGUCGAACCUGAUAGUAUACCAAAUUCUUCGGAAUAAGGUAAUAGUGCGUGUAAGCAUACUCCCAAGAAAAUCCGCUAAACUUAAUCUUUAAGGUACCCGUACCGCAAACGGACACACGUAGUCGGGUUGAAUAUACUAAGGCGCUUGAGUNUUGCUAAGUUGAACUAACGAAGUCAGAUUGCUAAGACAGCUAGGAUGUUGGCUUGGAAGCAGCCAUUCAUUUAAAGAGUGCGUAACAGCUCACUAGUCGAGGAGUUUGGCGUGGAUAAUAAUCGGGCAUUAAGCAAUUUACCGAAGCUAUGGGAUGUUAACUAAACACUAACAUCGGUAGGGGAGCAUUCCACUCUGCGUCGAAGGUGAAGCGUGAGCUUUGCUGGAGCGUGUGGAAAAGCAAAUGUAG
rnacentral:rRNA from 1 species